rnacentral:rRNA from 1 species
CCUACGGGUGGCAGCAGUGAGGGAUAUUGGUCAAUGGGGGAAACCCUGAACCAGCAACGCCGCGUGAGGGAAGACGGUUUUCGGAUUGUAAACCUCUGUCAUCUGUGAAGAUGGUGAUGGUAGCAGAGGAGGAAGCUCCGGCUAACUACGUGCCAGCAGCCGCGGGAAUACGUAGGGAGCAAGCGUUGUCCGGAUUUACUGGGUGUAAAGGGUGCGUAGGCGGCUUGGCAAGUCAGAAGUGAAAUCCAUGGGCUUAACCCAUGAACUGCUUUUGAAAGUGCAGAGCUUGAGUGGAGUAGAGGGAGGUGGAAUUCCCGGUGUAGCGGGGAAAUGCGUAGAGAUCGGGAGGAACACCAGUGGCGAAGGCGGCCUGCUGGGCGCUAACUGACGCUGAGGCGCGAAAGCGUGGGUAGCAAACAGGAUUAGAAACCCUGGUAGUC